AGCCAGGAUGGUCUCAAUCUCCUGACCUCCUGAUCCGCCCACCUCGGCUUCCCAAACUGCUGGGAUUACAGGCGUGAGCCACCGCGGCCAGCCAAAAGUAGCUUUGUAACACCAAUCAUUCAGGUUUUGCAUGCAGUGCAGACAGCAGAGGAAGCACACUUCAGUCCAAAUGAGCUUGAAGUCCUUUUUCUGCAGAUGUAGUUCGCACAGCUUUGACUGAACAGCUCCAAUUUAGAUUCCUGGACCCUACCUCAUUUCUGAGGUUUCCUGGAGUGUGGCUCACUUAGAAGGAAGUCAACCAAAUUUCAAAUGGAGAGGAAAGACUAAAUUGAAUCUGGAGAUAUGUGCAUGUGCCUCCCUUUUCUUUCCUUAUGGCCCAGCUUUGUUUGAGCCUACUAUCAAAUGUUUUUGUUUCGUUUUGUUUUCUUGUUUUGUUUUUGAGAUACAGUCUCGCUCUGUCACCAGGCUGGAGUGCUGUGGUGCGAUCUCAGAUCACUGCAACCUCCAACUCCCUAGUUCAAGCGAUUCUCCUGCCUCAGCCUCCCUAACAGCUGGGAUUACAGGCGCGCACCACCACACCCAGUUAAUUUUUGUAUUUGUAGUAGAGACAGGGUUUCACCAUGUUGGCCAGGCUGGCCUUGAUCUCCUGACCUCAAGAUCUGCCUGCCUCGGCCUCCCAAAGUGCUGGGAUUACAGGCAUGAGCCACCGCGCCCGGCCCCAAUGGUUUCUAAAGCAUCUCCCAAAGCAUGUCUACCCUGAGUGACAGAAAGCAAGUGAGGAAGACAUCUGCAACACACAAUGGAAGGCGAAGGCCUCUGGCUUUCUGAUUCUGGUCCUGGCUCCAUCAUUUUCUUUUUAUUUUUUUUCUUUUUGAGACAAGGUCUCACUCUGUCACUCAGGCAGAGUACAGUGGCAUGAUCUCGGCUCACUGCAGCCUCUGCCCCCCUGGUUCAAGCUAUUCUCCUGCCUUAGCCUCCUGCCUCCAAGAAGCUGGGACUACAGGCGUAUGCCACCAUGCCUGGCUAAGUCUUGUAUUUUUAGUAUUUUUAGUAGAGAUGGGGACGUGAGCCACCAUGCCUGGCCCUGGCUCUUAUCAUUUUCUAGUACAGUACAUCUUUAGCAAAGACCAUUUUCUCAUCCCUUUUGUCAGUACAGCACAAUACUGUACUGUUUCAUUAGAUGCCACUGUAACCUAGACGGCAGCUUAGGACUCUGUCCCUUGGAGAUAUGGGUGGUAGACUUGAGAAAAGAUUUCAGAAAGCAGAGGGAGGAGGGGUUUACACUGCCACAACACACAAAAAAACUUCAAAUAGAACAGUAAGCAUUACCAUUCUCUUGUUUUUUCACCUUUUAUAUUGUGAAGUACAUCAUGGAUACAGAAAAGUGUAUUUAAUAUAAAACCGUAGCUUAAUGAAUAAUUACCAAAUAAACUCCUGAGCUACCCGCCACCCAGGUGAAGAAAUAAAAUAUUGUUAGCAUUCUUGAAACCCACCCCUUUCAGAUGCUCAACCCCUUUCAGAUAUGAUUCUCCUAAUCAUAUCACUUUUCCACCAAAAAGGAUGAUUUCAUAAUAGUUAUUUCCUUACCUUUCUUGGAAUUUUACCGCCAAAGUGUAGAUCCCUAAACAAUAUAGUUACUGUUUUUGAAUGUUGUGUGGAGAUAAUAAUAUUGAAUAUAUUCUUUUGUACUUUCUUUCCAAAGAUUAAUCUCCUAUGGUUUUAAUUCAUUUAUAUCAAUUGCUGUAUAGUAUUCCAUUGUAUGAAUAUACCUUAGUUUGUUUAUCCAUAUUCAACUGUUGGUGAAUAUUCAAGUUGUUUCCAGUUUUUGGCUGUUAAUGACAUUCUACUAAAGAACUUUCUUAAGAGUGUAUCCCACUGAUCGACAUGUGCAUAUGUUUCUCUAGGGUCUGUACCUCAACGUUGAAUUUCUGGAACACAGGGUAGGCAAAUCUUUGAUUUGUAAUGCCAAACUGUUAUUCAAAGUGGCUGUACUAGUUUACCUUCCUAGCAGUAGUGUAUGAAAGUUCCCAUUUGUCCAGGUGCUCACCAACACUUGAUAUUGUCAGACUUUUAGCUUUUACGGUGAGGGAAUAAUGUUAUUUCAUAGUGGUUUUAAUUUGUAUUUCCCUGAUUAGUAAUGGAGUCAAGCAUCAGUUUAUACAUUUGUUAGCCAUUUGGUUUUUCCUUUAUGGAAAGUGCCGUUCAAAUAUUUUGUCUGUUUUUCUAAUGGGUCAUCUUUUUGUUAUUGAUUUGUAUUAGUUCCUUAUACAUUCUGGAUACUAGCCCUUUGUAAGUUGCAUGUAUUUUAAAUAUCUUCUCCCACUCCGUGGGCUUUUUACCCUCUUUAUCAUAUAUCUUGUGAACAGAAGUUUUUAAUGUUAAUAUAAUUAUCAUUUUACCUUUCACAUUUAGAUCUAUAACCCAUCUGGAAUUUAAUUUUUAUGUAUACUGUG
rnacentral:lncRNA from 10 species